AUUUUUUCCUAAUUGGAUUUACAGGUAAGUUACAGGUAAAUUCAUACUUUUACAUUGACUGAUCACAGAGUAUAAAGACAAAUCAAGUGACAUUGCAAUUGGUAAAUGGCUAUCCCAAUGUUUCGGGUUACCAUUCCUUUCCCUAAAUGAAAUCGAUAACUGCUUCACUUUUGACAUUGUCUGACGCUCCUUCUGAUGACAAAUGUCAUAUAUUCUUAGACAACGUCCAAGUACACAUUCCAUAACGGUCAACCAAUUCGUGAUGGCGUCCAUAAAAUUAACGAAGGGAUGAUUUCAACUUCACCAUUUGGAACUCUUGGUUUAAUAGCUUCCUUGCGAGAAAAUGCGAACUCUAGAAAUGCCCCACCAGUACGUAUGCCAGACAAAGAAAAGAUGGCCUUCGUUAUCGACAAUUACGCCAAAUAUAGAAGAGACGAAAUCAUAAGAAAGGAAUAUAUUAGAUGUGUUGCCUAUACAUACUCGGCAAGAACAGAUUUAUGAUUUGAAUGUAUUCCGUUUUUAUGGAUUUGAAUGCGGUACAUAUAUUUUUAAU
rnacentral:lncRNA from 1 species